UAAUUUAUUGGUAACAGUCAAAUCCUUAGUUUUCAACCAAAAUGGUAGAUGAAAAUGGCUAAUUAAAAUGUUAAUUAUUUAUAGAACACAUGGAAAGUACACAGGAAAAUGUUUAUAACGGGAAGUCCAUAGUUGUCGAAACAUGUGAGCUACAAAUCUUGUUUUGUCUGAUUGUCACUUAUAAACAAUUUAACAUUAAAUUUUUUUUUUUUUGAACAUUAACAUUUAAAUAUAUGUGGUAACACGAGAAUCAUCAAGUGGUAACAAUCAAACAUGUGGUUCAUCAACAUUUGUGACAGUUAGAAACUAAUUGUCUGAUUAAUAUUUUACUAAUUGCAUCUACAACCCUCUUCACCGUUUAUUUAUAAAAUUUGAGUAAAACCACGCCGGUGAAGAGAAAUAAUAAUCAGAAGCACACUAUUUAUUUGAUUAUUUCAAUUUGUUUCUUUUAAAACUGAUUAUAACAUUCUCAUCAGUUCUCAAACUAGCUUUAAGGGAAGACUUUUAUUACUAAAGAGAGUAAAAGGUGAGCAAAGGCAAGAAAAGGAGAAAGGCAAGAGGAACCUCUACUCAUUUUCUGGUUCAGAAAAAGAAGCUGCUUCAAGUCUACUCCAACCACAAAAAAAAAAGUUGCCAAGUAGUCCAUUGGUGAUGAUAAUUCACAAGAC
rnacentral:lncRNA from 1 species